CAAGGACACAUCUAAAACCUGCAGGCCCUCAAGGCCCGGAGUUUGACACCCCUGCAUUAGACUGAUCGGGUAUGGCAUGUCUCAAAUGAUAAGCGCGGCUUUGGCCCUUUGUCGUCCUCCUCCCCUCCUGUCUCUGCUCUCUAUGAGAGGUCUUUUCCUGUUGCCCUUAUCUACGAAGGAGCCAGCAACGUUGACGUACUUCCAUGUUGUACUGGGCGAGCUGUACUCUCCAAACAAACACACUGGAGCUGAGAGAGACGGAGAGACACUCUGGCAAAAAGAAGAUCAAGAUAAAGGGGAAAAAAAAUACCGCCAGGGAGGGACUGUUUUUUUUUUUUAAAACAAGAUACCAGAGAGAGAAGAAAGUCCUGGUGGGUUUGUUGUGCUGUGUGCACUGUGUGCAUACUGACAAGCACCUCGCUCCAAAUCGCCACAGUCACACCCAACGGAGCUCAUCAUUCGUGAGCAACACGCUGCUAUUUCAUCUCAGCCCCCCCACCACCACCACCACCACCUCUUUUACACAUCACUCUUUGGGUUGUGCAGCGAUGCCUGAUAUUGAAUGGUACUGAAUGAAAUGCUGGAGAGAGACUUGGAGUGGAGUAGAUGCUGGCUUUCAUCCAGUAACCUGCCAUCAUUCAUCUGGGCAACAGGGGUUAUUGAGAACAAUCGCAGACGGAGAGAGAGAAGUGUGCUGACAGGCUUUAUAUGUGUGAUGAUGUGUAUGGCUCCUUCUGCAAAGAGCCUGAGAAAAUGUUUUUCAUUCCGCCCUUUCUGCCAUUGUUACAGGGAAGCAGACGUUUUUGGAAAGCUAGAUAAGAUAAAUAAUUCUACGGUAUGAAGCAAGAAAUGCUUUACAGCACUGUGGCAGCAGCAGCAGAGGCAAGUGGAGAAGCAACAGGGGCCUAACUGGCUUGAUAUUUUUACUUUGCAGCCCUUGCAUUGAGUAGAAAAGAAGAAAGUCAGAAUUGAAAACUGCUUCCCCAGCUAACCUAGACUGACCAUGUCUCCAACCUAUUACUGAACUGAGCACACAGAUUAAACUGAUGUUGACCUUCUGGUCUAACUCCUGGUGAACAAGGAAAACAAACACGGUGCUGUCAGACUUUUUUAAAGAAGAGUAAUGUUACCGAUAUGAGUGAGCGCUGUUUAUGGUUUCAUCACAUGGGUCCUUUCUUUUUCUAACAUUUGAACUUUGGUCACACUAAUACAGCUUAUGUAUUCAAAAACAACAGCUCUGUGUUUUUCUUUUAAAUCUUUUUUUGUGCAUUUAAUUAAAGACCACAUGUGCCGUCUCUUUGUGGCAGGUAUUUUCGUACUCUUUUGGUACUUUGAUGAAAUAUUAUUUCUCUGUCUCUUCAGCACACGUUGUCAGAAUCACAGAAGAAUAAUGAUAUUUAUUUUAACAGGUUUGUUGGAAGUGUGAUUGCAUGAUUUGUUCAUUUGCACAACCAUGUAGUUUCUAUAAUAACACUGUUUCAAAAGUAGUUUUAAAUAAGUAAUCAUGCAGUAGCUUCCAUGAUAAAUCCGACUCAUUCCAGUUUGCUAAAUUUUAGUGUGAAGUAUGAGAGCUUAUUUCUGCUGGACAUUGGA